UACGAGGGGGGCAAGCGUUGUUCGGAAUUAUUGGGCGUAAAGAGCUCGUAGGCGGUUUGUCGCGUCGAAUGUGAAAACCCGGGGCUCAACCCCGGGCCUGCAUUCGAUACGGGCAGACUAGAGUUCGGUAGGGGAGUCUGGAAUUCCUGGUGUAGCGGUGAAAUGCGCAGAUAUCAGGAGGAACACCGGUGGCGAAGGCGGGACUCUGGGCCGAUACUGACGCUGAGGAGCGAAAGCGUGGGGAGCAAACAGG
rnacentral:rRNA from 1 species